rnacentral:rRNA from 1 species
UAAUACUUCUUAUACCACGUUGAAAGCACUGGUUCUCGUCCGAUCACCGAAGUUGAGCAACGUUGGUCCCGGUGAGUAGUUGCAUGGGUGACCGGCUGAGAAUAGAGGGUGUUGUCGGCU